rnacentral:rRNA from 1 species
UACGUAGCAGCGAGCGUUGUUCGGAGUUACUGGGCGUAAAGGGUGCGUAGGCGGCUUUUUAAGUUUGGUGUGAAAUCUCCCGGCUCAACUGGGAGGGUGCGCCGAAUACUGAGAGGCUAGAGUGUGGGAGAGGAAAGUGGAAUUCCUGGUGUAGCGGUGAAAUGCGUAGAUAUCAGGAGGAACACCGGUGGUGUAAACGGCUUUCUGGACCAGUACUGACGCUGAGAGACGAAAGCGUGGGGAGCAAACAGG